rnacentral:tRNA from 1 species
ACUUAAGUAGUUUAUGUAAAAUUUUAAUUUGUGGGAUUAAUGAAGCUUUUGAGGGUCUUAAGUA